UGCAGAAUCCCGUGAACCAUCGAGUUUUUGAACGCAAGUUGCGCCCGACGCCAUUAGGCUGAGGGCACGUCUGCCUGGGCGUCACGU
rnacentral:rRNA from 1 species